CGAACGGGUGAGUAAUGCAUCGGAACGUACCUAGUUGUGGGGGAUAGCUCGGCGAAAGCCGGAUUAAUACCGCAUACGUCCUACGGGAGAAAGCAGGGGAUCGCAAGACCUUGCGCAAUUGGAGCGGCCGAUGUCUGAUUAGCUAGUUGGUAGGGUAAAGGCCUACCAAGGCGUCGAUCAGUAGCGGGUCUGAGAGGAUGAUCCGCCACACUGGGACUGAGACACGGCCCAG
rnacentral:rRNA from 1 species